rnacentral:rRNA from 1 species
CUUGACAUCCUUUGACAACUCUAGAGAUAGAGCCUUCCCCUUCGGGGGACAAAGUGACAGGUGGUGCAUGGUUGUCGUCAGCUCGUGUCGUGAGAUGUUGGGUUAAGUCCCGCAACGAGCGCAACCCUUAAGCUUAGUUGCCAUCAUUAAGUUGGGCACUCUAAGUUGACUGCCGGUGACAAACCGGAGGAAGGUGGGGAUGACGUCAAAUCAUCAUGCCCCUUAUGAUUUGGGCUACACACGUGCUACAAUGGACAAUACAAAGGGCAGCGAAACCGCGAGGUCAAGCAAAUCCCAUAAAGUUGUUCUCAGUUCGGAUUGUAGUCUGCAACUCGACUACAUGAAGCUGGAAUCGCUAGUAAUCGUAGAUCAGCAUGCUACGGUGAAUACGUUCCCGGGUCUUGUACACACCGCCCGUCACACCACGAGAGUUUGUAACACCCGAAGCCGGUGGAGUAACCUUUUAGGAGCUAGCCGUCGAAGGUGGGACAAAUGAUUGGGGUGAAGUCGUAACAAGGUAGCCGUAUCGGAAGGUGCGGCUGGAUCACCUCCUUU